CGGCAAGUUGAAUAGCUAGGUCAUCUUCUGCAAAAUAUUUAACUUUUUGGAGCCUUUUUUUUUUCACCUGUGAAAUAGAGAGAAUAAUAAUCUCCCGAAUAAAGAAUAGCAUUUCUUCAUUAGAAUAGGAAAUGAAGAGCAAACAUGUAAAACCAUUCUGGGGAAUAAAUACAAUGUAGUAAAAGCAUAAAGCUAAAGUGAAUGAUAAAAAAUGAAAACAUUAUUCAGCAAUAGUUGGCUAGUAAAGUUAUAGAUUACGCUCUUAAAGCCACAGAGAUGGGAAGAAAUGAAAAUGUGAUGCUAUUAAAGAGAUCAGUGGAAGCUUUUUUUUUUAAGAUUUUAUUUAUUUAUUCAUAGAGACAGAGAGAGGGAGAGGGAGAGACACAGGCAGAGGAAGAAGCAGGCAUCAUACAAAGAGCCUGACGUGGGACUCGAUCCAGGGUCUCCAGGAUCACGAUCUGGUCUGCAGGCGGCGCUAAACCGCUGCGCCACUGGGGCUGCCCGGUGGAAGGUUUUUUAAUGAGACAUUUUACUCUUUGAAUUAAGGAGCAAUGCCAUGCAAAAGGAAGUUAGUAAAUUAGAAUAAAGGAAGAACAUUACUUCUGCAAACAGAGAUUGAAAAACAAUGUUCAAAUGACUACAGUAAAAAAAAGGAAGAAAAAGGAAAAGAAUUUCAUUUGUCAUUAGAGAAAAUAAAAAGACUGCUCUUCUUAAAAAAAAAAAAAGAAAAAUCAAGCUAAUUUUCCUGUACGUUCCUCGGAGGCUGGCUUCUACGAUAAUUCUGUGUGAGGGAGGGGGUACAGGAGACAAUUCGGUUGUCCUGCCCAGGUGUAAGCACGUCUUGGUCGGAGGACACACCUGGUGGGAAUACUAAGCCUAACUAACAAUGGCUUCAUAAUAUGAUGUGAUUCACCUUUGCAAAAAGGAGAGGCUUCCAACAACCCACGGUCAAAUUUUGCAUUCCCUGUCCCAGGUAACAAGACCAGGAGAAAUGGAGAACUUUGUUGAAAAGGAAGUUUUGAAAAGAAGGGGGCAUCUGGUGACCCAGGACACGGCGAAGAGGGAGGCAGGGUGCAGGAUAAGGACCAACUACUUAUCACCCACUUGGAUCCCUACAAUAGCCUUGGUCUCCAGGCUUGUCCCUGUUUCCAAUCCACCGGAUGCACUCUGCUCAAUGCACAGCCAAUUCUCAUCAUGUUACUCUGCUGUUUACAGCUGCCUGAAGUCUCCCCAUCCAUUUCCGGUAAAGAACAAACUUCCAUGUGGCCUUAAAGACCCUUCAAAAGUCACUCCUGUAACCUCUUCAAGCGCAAUUUAAGUCUCCUUCUCCCUAAACGCUAGCUUUCUACACCUGCAUCACAUUCUCUCCACCUCUGGGCUUUGGCUCAUGUUCUGCUCCCCCGUUGUAGCACCCCUACCCCCCGCACCUCCCCACUUUCACCAGGGUAGCUCAUAAGCAACCUCAUGUUUUUGGCAGACCAAUAAGAGAUUCUGAAAACUCUUCUAAGUCUGUGAGACCCCUGUUGUAAUGUUCACGAGGGGCUCUCCUGUCUUAAUAAUACGAUUACUACGAGAAUUUAACUUGUUAACAGACAAUGUGCCAAGCACUGAGUUAGGCCUUAGGAGAUCAGAUGAAUAAGACAUAGCCCCUGCACAGUUCAGGGAGGACAAACGUGACUAUAUCACAAUACGGAAAGUGUUCUAAUAGAACUAUAACAUCACUGAGAAAGUCACAGCCCCCUUUCCUAGGGAAGCUGGGUGAGACUUCACAAAUCACACAAAUCUUAAGCCCUACUUAAAAAACAAAAGAAGACAAAAGUAGCAGGAUUGGCCAGGCCGAGAAGGAAAGAGGAGAAACUAGGUAAAGGGAAUAUCAUAUUAUUAUAGUAACUGGCCUUAACAUUUUUAUUUCACUUGCUAACACUGCUGCUGCCACUGCUGCCUUGGCUUUCUCACCAUUUGCAAGGCCUUCACUUGAGUUACAGAGUGGCACUGUUUAAUUUUUCCUCGACACAUUUACCUACUUCACAGCUAGGGUAGGGAGUGGUCUUGUGUUGGUGGAUAUUCACUGCCUGAGAGUUCCUUGUUCCUUUCUGUGUGGUCACAGACACUUUUGGAAGUCGUUUCAUAGAUGGUGGCCUAUGCAAGUUUUAAUCAGCAAAAUCACAGCUCUUUCAAAGCUUGCUGACUCCUAUAUUGUCACCGUGGGAAACUUUUUGCCUCCUGUGUAGACUGAAAUGUAUAUUAUAUUCGGUGCUGGUGGUUUAUUUGGGGUGUUUAGACAUAUUUACAUUUUUGCUUAGGAAAGCAUCUUUCUGAACUGUGACUAGAAACUGUGAAUACCACUAGGCAACAGAUCUUUAUAAUAUUGGCAAGGUUCUCAUGUUCACUGUAAGCUCUAUUUGAAUAUCCUCGGGGUUUGUCUGUGGCACAUAUGUUCUUAUUAAUUGAUUACACAUUAAUAAAAAUGAUAGCAAAUUAACA
rnacentral:lncRNA from 12 species